rnacentral:rRNA from 1 species
ACGCUCGACACCUACGGGGGGCAGCAGUGGGGAAUAUUGCACAAUGGGGGAAACCCUGAUGCAGCGACGCCGCGUGGAGGAAGAAGGUCUUCGGAUUGUAAACUCCUGUUGUUGGGGAAAAGGAGGAUGGUACCCAACAAGGAAGUGACGGCUAACUACGUGCCAGCAGCCGCGGUAAUCUGAGCGGGCUGGCAAGGC